rnacentral:rRNA from 1 species
GACGAACCGUGCGAGCGUUGUUCGGAAUCACUGGGCUUAAAGGACGCGUAGGCGGGCGGUCAAGUCUGUGGUGAAAUCCUUCGGCUCAACCGGAGAAUAGCUGGAGAUACUGGCCGUCUCGAGGGGGGUAGGGGCAUGUGGAACUUCCGGUGGAGCGGUGAAAUGCGUAGAUAUCGGAAGGAACGCCGGUGGCGAAAGCGACGUGCUGGACCCUUUCUGACGCUGAGGCGCGAAAGCCAGGGGAGCAAACGGG